ACGCCACUCUCCAUUCCUUUUCUCUCCUCCUUUUUCCAUUGUCUUCUUUUCAACCCUAAACCUCAGCCGCUUUCUUUCUUCUCCCUACUCUCCAUUUCUUCCUCCUUUUUCCUUUGUUUCCUUUCAACCCUAAACCGCAGCUCCAGCUAGGCAGAAUUCCAACAAAAAAUUCUCUCAUAUCCCUCCAGGCCGCAACUCCAGCCCACUUAUACCCUCUCCUCUACAAAGAAGUUGUCAAUCACCUCUCUCUCCUUCUCCGAUCAACUGCAAAGCUAAAGUUUCCUGGAUUCUCGCUUAAAUUUUAGAAAAUUUUUGGGCAAUUCUUCUCCAUUUCCCACAAAAAAAAAAAACAUGAUUUCAAUCAGAUAUCCAUGGCCAUGAUGUAAGCAUUUCUGAUUUUGUUCUGCUUUUUUAAGGCUAUUAUUAAUCCCUUGGAGCUAGCAAUGGAAGCACUCAAAGAGAUCCAAUUAUGGUUCUAUAAAGAUUUCCCUCCUCAUCCUAAGGAACAAGUUUAUGGAUUUGCAACACCAUCAACAAUGAAACCAACUCAAUGGUCUUAUCCAGGUGGUGGAAUUAACCAAAUCCAGCUGAAUGUACAGUUUCAGGGGAUGUUAGGUUGACUCCAUUUUACAGUGUAUCAGAUGUGCUGAAGAAGUUACAGGAGUAUGUAGAAGACAUAAAUGAAAAUAUUGAGAAGCUUGAUACUAGGGACCCUGUUUCAAAAUAUGUGCUACCAGAUGAAAACCUAAGGGGAAGGCUUGAUGGCUACAUACCAUGCCAAGAAUGAGUACUGCCUUCUAACUGACUUGUGCCAGGGCUAUCAUGUGCCUUGGCUAUCAAGUACCAAGGCCUUGGCUAUCAUGUGCCCCUUGUGCCCAUGUCAUGAUAAUAAUAACGAAUAAAAUUCAUGACUUUCAUUAUUGAUGUGAAUGUCAGAUGAUGGAAUAGUGGUAAAGGUGAGGUUAUUUUCUUUUAAUGUGUAGGAAGUUCCACGAAUGGUUGGUGGGCUUGUUAAGACUAUAUUUUCUUGCAUGUGGGAUAUUCUUUUGUAUAUUUUCUAGCAUGUAGGAUAUUCUUUUGUGACUUGUGAGAAAGUCAUGGUAAUUGUUAUGUUUCAUAUGAAUAGUUUCCAUAUUUUAGUUAUUCCUAUCUGACACAUAUGGCUCACUCAUUGCCAAGUCUUGGAAAUUUUUUGCAUGGGAGCACCAUUGAUGGUAAUAAAUGGAAAAAAAAUAACAAUUAUAGGUGCAGAAAUGGUAUAAUGGUAAGGUUUCUUACACAAAUUGAAAAAAAAUGAAAGAAAAUGAUAGGGAUGAAAAAAUAUAAAGGACUUUAUGAACUUUGUGUUUCUAUAGCCAUUUGAUAUUCACACACAGAUUAUUGCUUCAUUUUGAAACAGGUUGCAAAGGAGGGAAUUCCACUGCCUCCAGAUAGAAUGUUAUGCCCUUUGCAUUCACAAAAAGCGUGUAAACCCAUCAGCUGUAGCUGUUUCAGGAUUUGUCUUUUGUUAUUCUUACAUAUUUAAAUAAGUCUCUUAGGUUUGUUUCUCCAUACUUUUGUAUUGAUCAUGGUAAAAUUGCAGAACUACUGCCAAAUAUUGUUUCUAAGUGAUGCUUUCUCUUAUGUCACAUUUCAGGAAGCUUUUAUCAUUUUUCUAUAUAGUGUACGCUAAACUUAAACAGUAAAUUGUACACUGUAGCCAGAAAUUCAAUUUUGCAACUAAUUCUUUUGUUUAAUCAUACUAGCAGUUGCUUG